AAAAGGAAAAAGAAGAGCUCUGGUGGCUUAGGCUCGAUCGCCGUUCAAUGACAGCGUUGGUUUCCCCCCGAAAAGGGGCGGGCCUUAAGUUGACGUAGAUGUUACGGCUCACUA